ACACCGACGUACGCGCGGUGAGAGGGGUCAGGUAACUGUGGCGUGACCGGUGACGAAUUAGACACUACUGCCCUACAAGCGACUAUAUAAAUGUCGCCAAGCCAACCGCCUCCAGACCAGUCGCUACUUCGUCGUUGUGUACUGGUAACGCGAGCAAGGCCAAAACGAAAGAGACAGAGAGAGCGAGAGAGAAAGAGAGAGCGAAAGAGAGAGAAAAAAAAGAGAGAGAGAAAGAGAGAGAGGGAGAGAGAGAGAGAGACGAGAUUCACUUGAUUUCACGAAAGAGACUUGCUCGUCGAUUCACAAGGCAAUUAUAUCGAACAUCGACAAAGCGAAACAAAGAGGAAAAACCUAAAAAAACAAGAUGCAACUUGAAGGAAAGAAAACAAACUGGAGAAUUGUGGUCGCUGCACUGCUGAUGGCGACACUGUUGCUGACUACAGUGACGUCAGCGGCUCCGGCAGACGAA